CAGUCGCCGCGGGAAUACGUAGGGUGCGAGCGUUAAUCGGAAUACUGGGCGUAAAGCGCGCGCAGGCGGUUUUGUAAGACAGGCGUGAAAUCCCCGGGCUCAACCUGGGAAUGGCGCUUGUGACUGCAAAGCUAGAGUGCGGCAGAGGGGGAUGGAAUUCCGCGUGUAGCAGUGAAAUGCGUAGAUAUGCGGAGGAACACCGAUGGCGAAGGCAAUCCCCUGGGCCUGCACUGACGCUCAUGCACGAAAGCGUGGGGAGCAAACAGGAUUAGAUACCCGAGUAGUCCCUGUCUCUUAUACA
rnacentral:rRNA from 1 species